CCAGGAAAACACUUGUUCCCAUACGAUCACUGAAGUUAAGCAACGUUGAUUCUAGUCAUUACUUAGAUGGGUUACCGCUUGGGAAUGCCAAAUGC